UACGUAGGGACCAAGCGUUGUUCGGAUUUACUGGGCGUAAAGGGCGCGUAGGCGGCGUGUUAAGUCACUUGUGAAAUCUCUAGCUUAACUUAGAACGGUCAAGUGAUACUGAUGUGCUAGAGCGCAGAAGGGGCAACCGGAAUUCCAGGUGUAGCGGUGAAAUGCGUAGAUAUCUGGAGGAACACCGGUGGCGAAGGCGGCAUCCUGGACCGACACUGACGCUGAGGAGCGAAAGCCAGGGGAGCAAACGGG
rnacentral:rRNA from 1 species